GGAAAGGAAAGAGAAGGAAAAGAAGGGAAAAAGAAAUAAAAAGAAAAAUGUGCACAAGAAAAGUACAUAUUCUUUGAGAAUUUUGGCGAUUUUUGAUUUAUCAAAAAUUUUCGAGUAAUGAACAAUUGAUAGAAUCAAUGAAAUUGGUGCCAAAUUGCAUGAUUAUGAGUAUAAAAAAUUUUUUGGAUAACAAAUCGUUGAUGAAAUUGACGAAUUUGAUGAGAUUGCAAGAGUUUUUUGAGAAUCAGAACCUUUUGAGUAACAAAUUAUGAACAAAAUUGAUGAGAACUAACGAAUGUGAGA
rnacentral:misc_RNA from 1 species